UUGGUAUUAACAGUACAUUUUUUAUACCGCAUCAGAGGAUAAUAACAGCGUUUCAAUUUCAAUUACGUGCUUUAUUAAAACUUUUAGAUAAAAAGUGAUUACCUAUAAGCUACACCAAGUGAGUAUGUAGCAGACAUAGCCGUAACGGUGUUUAGGACUGAGGCUAAAAUAAGAAAGUUCAAGAAGUUCGCCGAGAGACAGCGAAAAGGCCAAUGCAAUAGGCAUAAUGCAAUAUGUUUUAUAUCAAGGCAGUGUGGUCGUAGGAAGUGGACUCGUCCAGGGAGCUGUUGUUGAAAAGUUCAUGUUACAUCCCACAACUGUGACAGGAAGUGGUCUGGUCUUGUCAGGAGUCGGAGGGUAAAGCUGGCCUCCAAUCCCAACCCACAGAGUCAACACUAGACCCACAAUCAUUCCCAGCAGUCCUCCCUGAAAAGGCCUCACCUCAAAGUUCCACUGUAUGCAGCAGCCACAAACAAGCCUGGGAUUCCAGGGUAAACUGCCAGAAUAUCCAUCACUAGCCAGAGCUGGAGCGUAGAUGACCAGACCAGUGUACAGGGCCUGAUGGGAGAUUAAGACCAUUAGCUGAUUAGUGAGAAACACAACAGUUACCGUCUGUGAGAUGUACAUGGACGUUCCGAUUAUCCGGAUGGGCUGACUGAAGCGCAACUCCAGGUGCUGGUGAUGCCCAGUCGGUAGAAAAGUGGGACAAAAAUCUCCGCCGUGAUCACAGACAUGAUGGCGUAGGAGAAGCCGAAGAUCCAGAAGGCAGCUCCGUACAG